UACAGAGGGUGCGAGCGUUAAUCGGAAUGACUGGGCGUAAAGCGCGCGUAGGCGGUUAUACAAGUUGGGUGUGAAAUCCCUGGGCUUAACCUAGGAAUUGCAUUCAAAACUAUAUGACUUGAGUGAAGUAGAGGUGAGUGGAAUUUCCGGAGUAGCGGUGAAAUGCGUAGAUACCGGAAGGAACACCAGUGGCGAAGGCGACUCACUGGGCUUUAACUGACGCUGAGGUGCGAAAGCGUGGGGAGCAAACAGG
rnacentral:rRNA from 1 species